GGAGGGUUAUAAGAGAGGAAGAUAAACAGGAAGAAAACUGACAUGAUUGUUCACAGUCAGUUACAGAUUGAACUCCUUGUUCUACUACUUUCCCCCCUCCUUAUUACUGCACUUGACUAGUCUUAA
rnacentral:sRNA from 1 species